UCCUACGGGAGGCAGCAGUGGGGAAUAUUGCACAAUGGGGGAAACCCUGAUGCAGCCAUGCCGCGUGUGUGAAGAAGGCCUUCGGGUUGUAAAGCACUUUCAGUAGGGAGGAAGGUAGUGUAGUUAACACCUGCACUAUUUGACGUUACCCACAGAAGAAGCACCGGCUAACUCCGUGCCAGCAGCCGCGGUAAUACGGAGGGUGCGAGCGUUAAUCGGAAUUACUGGGCGUAAAGCGCAUGCAGGCGGCCUGUUAAGUCAGAUGUGAAAGCCCGGGGCUUAACCUCGGAAUUGCAUUUGAAACUGGCAGGCUAGAGUCUUGUAGAGGGGGGUAGAAUUUCAGGUGUAGCGGUGAAAUGCGUAGAGAUCUGAAGGAAUACCAGUGGCGAAGGCGGCCCCCUGGACAAAGACUGACGCUCAGAUGCGAAAGCGUGGGGAGCAAACAGGAUUAGAUACCCUGGUAGUCCACGCCGUAAACGAUGUCUACUUGGAGGUUGUGGCCUUGAGCCGUGGCUUUCGGAGCUAACGCGUUAAGUAGACCGCCUGGGGAGUACGGUCGCAAGAUUAAAACUCAAAUGAAUUGACGGA
rnacentral:rRNA from 1 species